rnacentral:rRNA from 1 species
AGACCAGUAUGAAUGGCAAGACGAAAGUUCAACUGUCUCCCUAAAUUAAUCAAUGAAAUUGAUUUUUCCGUGCAGAAGCGGAAAUAUAAUUAUAAGACGAGAAGACCCUAUGGAGCUUUAAACAUAUGAUCAAUUGCGUAACAUAAAAUCCAAAAGAUAAAAUAUUUAAUAUAACAAUAUGAUCAAAAUUUUAGGUUGGGGCGACCACGGAGAAAAACAAAACCUCCGAGAUGAAGAGAAUAUCUUAAUUCAAGAACUACAAUUCUAAAAAAUAAAAUAUUUAGCAUAAUUGAUCCAAUACUUUGAUCAACGAACCAAGUUACCCUAGGGAUAACAGCGCAAUCCUCUCCAAGAGUCCCUAUCGACGAGCGGGUUUACGACCUCGAUGUUGGAUCAGGACACCCCAAUGGUGCAGCCGCUAUUAAAGGUUCGUUUGUUCAACGAUUAAAGUCCUACGUGAUC